GGUACCCGCGAGAAAACUUGCAGAAACAGGCGUCAAACUCCCCGUCAAAACCAAACCCAAAUACACGGAAGAGUCUUCUUCUUCUUCCCAAAGUCUCAGUCUUUGUUAACCUUAGCUUCUUCAUAUAAUAAGGUCAUAGUUCAAAGCCCCCCAAUAUACAGUGUCCUCCCGGUCCUAACAAUCUUUCUCAGAAAAAACCAACCUAACCUCAUUUCCGGUACUAAUCCCCCAGUUUUAUAUCUUAAACGAUUUGGUGCUGUAGAUGGUACAGUACAGAGUUGCAGACCCAACAAAAUAAAGAAAUGGUCUUCAAACACCGACGCUCUCUCUCUCUCUCUCUCUCUCAGUCACACAUAAACACAAACCCACUGUUCACUCUCUCUCUUUCUGCUUUCUGCGUCUCUGCUACAAACCGACGAUAAACUCCUUGCUGGCAAAGAUUCCCGUUCUUUACCCCUUUACCUUUUCUCUCUUCUCUCUCUCUCUCUCUCUAAUCACAAACCCUAAAACUCUGUGACACCCAGAAUCCCCUCCCUCUUCUCAAUUCUUCCACCCAUCACAAUCCAGCCAUGGUUCUCCUGAUCCAACCUUGACCCACUACUCCUCCCCCCACCUAUUCCCCUAAAGUCGUUCUCUUUCUUUUGUUUUAAUUAAUUAUUAUGGGCUGCACGAGCUCCAAGCUCGACGACCUCCCCGCCGUGGCGCUCUGCCGCGAGCGGUGCGGCUUCCUCGACGAGGCCAUUCACCAGCGCUACGCCCUCGCUGAGGCCCACAUAAAUUACAUCCACUCCCUCCGCGGCAUCGGCCAGUCUCUCACUCACUUCAUCGACCAAGAAACCACCAACUCCUCCGGCGAGCCUCCUUCCCCCACUCUCAACCUCCCUCCCGUCCGCAAAGGCGCCGCCAAAACCUCCUCCCCCCCGAACCACUCCAGGUCCAAUUCCGGCUCCCACCUCCACUUCCACUCCGACUCCGACGACGACGACGACUCCCUCGGCUCCCUCCACCAUUCCGACCACUCCUCGCCGCUCCACCUCCACGACGGCGGCGCGCAGUACAUGGACGAGGGAGACGGAUUAAACAACAUGAUGAACACGAACGCGUACCCGCCGCAGGGCUAUAUGCACAUGAACUACAUGAGGAACAAGGCCACGCCGUCCGUCGUGUACCAGCAGAAACCGAUGAGCCCCGAAAACGUCUACCACGUCGGCGAAUCCUCCAAUUCUUCUGACUAUCCUUAUCCUUACCAAGACGGUGGCGGUGGGGGCGGCGCAGUAGCUAAUCCUUAUCCCUAUUCCGGGUAUUCCAAUUAUGGAGGAGGCGGCAAUUACGGUGGCGGCGGAGGGUACUAUGGUAAUUCCUCACCCGCGCCGCCUUACGGUGCGCCAGUUUCACAGCAAAAGCCGCCGCCUCCGCCGCCAUCGCCGCCGAGAGCUUCGGCGUGGGACUUUAUAAACCCGUUUGAGAGCAUUGAGAGGUACUACUCGGCGUACACGCCGGGCCGGGACUUGAGGGAGGUGAGAGAGGCGGAAGGUAUUCCUGAUUUGGAAGAUGAGGAAUAUACUGGCCACCGGAGCCAGUACCAGCAGGAAGUGGUGAAGGAAGUUCACAGGGAGCACCACAAGGAAGGGAAGCAGCAUAAGCAUGCUUCGAAGGCGGUGGAGGAGGAGGAGGAGGUGGAAGCUCAGGCCUCGCUGUACCAGACUAGGCCGAGUGUGGAGAAUGAGGGUGGAGUGGAGUAUGAGGUCCAUGUGGUGGAUAAGAAGGUUGUGGAUGAGGAGGAGAAGCGUGAGGAUCACCGAAGCUCCGGUGGAGGAGGAGGAGGCGGUGGAGGCUUCAAGCCGGGGUCUCGGGAUGCUUAUGAUGUGGCUAGAGAGAUUCAGGCUCAGUUUCAGAGAGCUUCCGAGUCCGGGAAUGAGAUUGCUACGAUGCUGGAGGUGGGGAAGCAUCCGUAUAAUCGGAAACAUGUUACUUCCAAGAUGCUGUCACUUGUGUCGUCGCAGCCGUCUACUUCCAACGAGGCAUCGUCCUCUGAAGUUGGUGCUGCUCAAUUGGGGUUUGAUGAAGAAUUGAUGAUGAGGUCGAGAAAUCUGUCUUCUACCUUGCACAAGCUCUAUCUUUGGGAGAAGAAACUGUACAACGAAGUCAAGGCCGAGGAAAAGAUGCGGGUAGUCCAUGACAGGAAGUGCCGUAGGCUGAAGCGUUUAGAUGAAAAGGGAGCAGAAGCCUCGAAAGUAGAUACAACUCGAACUUUGAUAAGGAGCUUGUCCACAAAAAUUAAAAUUGCGAUUCAAGUUGUUGACAAGAUAUCUGUGACCAUAAAUAAGAUCAGGGAUGAAGAAUUAUGGCCACAAUUAAACGAAUUAAUUCAAGGGUUAACCAGGAUGUGGAAAUCUAUGCUUGAAUGCCAUCGUAAUCAGUGCCUAGCAAUCAAAGAAGCCAGGGGUUUAGGUCCUAUUGGAUCUGGAAAGAAGCUAAGUGAUGCUCAUGUUGAUGCUACCUUGCAAUUCGAGCAUGAGCUUGUUAACUGGACUUUCAGAUUCUCGACUUGGAUUAGUGCUCAAAAGGGUUAUGUGAGAGCUUUAAAUAACUGGCUUUUAAAGUGUCUUCUGUAUGAACCUGAAGAAACAGCAGAUGGAAUAGUUCCCUUCUCACCCGGUAGGCUAGGUGCGCCUCCUGUUUUUGUAAUCUGUAACCAGUGGUCACAAGCUUUGGAAAGGAUAUCAGAAAGAGAGGUAGUCGACUCUAUGCGUGUUUUCACGAUGAGUGUGCUUCAGAAUUGGGAACAAGGUAAGCUUGAGAUGCGCCAGAGAAUGACAGAAAAUCAAGAUCUGCAAAAGAAAUUUAAGAACUUGGAUAAAAAGGAUCAAAAGCUUCAGAAGGAGAUUCAAGCAUUGGACAAGAAAGUGGUGCUAGUCUCGGGGGAUGUUGACUAUCCCCCAGUUACAGGUGGACAGAUUGUAUAUCAAAGUGAGACUAGAAAUAGUACUUUACAGGCUAGCCUGCAACGAAUUUUUGAGGCCAUGGAAAGGUUUACGGAUGUCUCCACAAAAGCUUACGAGGAGCUUUUGCAGCGCAGUGAAGAAGAAAGGCUUGCCGGGGCACAUGAGAGGGUUUCAUAGGGCUUGCCCGUGAGAAGUAAUUUUGACGAUUCCUUUCAAUGUGGAGUUCAAGAAUUCAAUAUCUUGGGGGAAACCUUACACUCCAUUUGUUCUUGCCAUCUGAUGGGCUGCUACAGCUGAAUUUUUAAUGCUUCUGGAAGAAAGCCAUAAUUUGGGGUGGCGCUUAUAUUUUGGAGAUAUUGCACCCUGAAUGCUGGAGGGUGGAAAUCAAGUAUUACCUGGGUUGACUCCUUAGAGUUUUAGUUUAAUGAGACAACCAGUACAGUUGGAUGGACAAAACGAAGAGUCGGGGCAAAAGUUAGAUGUGGCCAGCAAUGGAUGAACUUAUUGCUGUUGAUCCAACUUGGUCAUCUUCCUGACAAGACAUGAUUCUGCACCAAGUGGUGCAAAGUUUACUGGUAGAAUUGCAUUACGAGCAAUUCUAACAUCUCUAUGAGUCCAUCGCAGUAUUUGUGGAAAUGAAAUCAGAGAAGGGGCUCAUCUCUUUGACAUAAAUAUUGCAAUAUUGGCUGGCAGCAUGAGUAUGGAAAGGGGACCAAGAGGAGCUCCACUUUUACACACCAAAAGUAGCAAGAGGUGCACUUCUGGGCCAAAAUAAUUCAAGUAAGCGGAUGUCGUUUUCAAUUUUGUAUGAUGAGAUUCAGUGUUGGGGGAGUGACGCAAGUCCCAUCUAUGCCCAAAAUUAGUUUCCCAGCCGACGCCGUGUUCUUACGGCUGACUGCCGAAGGAGGAGACUAAGAGCUCAGUUGACAAAAUGCAGUGGUGAUUUCUGGUGAAGCAUACAGGUUCGGUGCUUCUCCACAGAAUGAAUCACUUUCAUGGGUCUAGAAAUCUUUACGUUAAUUAAAUACUAGAGUGGUGGAAAAUUCUGAAGUGAUAAUGCUGAGCCCACUUUAGUUAAGUGCGUUCAUGCUUAAUCCUUUGCUUUAGGAUACCUUAGGAAGUGUGUCUUCUUCAUCAAAUACACCACAGACUGUCUUCAUCAAACCAGCAUCGACUUUGGGCCAAGAGCGACCACUGGUUGGUAGACAUAACACUUCCGACAAUCUUAAAACGAC